GACGUAUAAAGGUUUCAAAUUCAUCUGUGUAUAUAUAAAGGAAGCCUUUCGUUUGUUAAGCAGAAAGUUUUUAAAGACAGUCAUCUGGUUGGUUUGACAGAAAAACUUUCUCAAAGAUAACAAUGAACUUUGUUCAGCUAUUGUUGCUUCUUGUUCUGGUGAUCUUGACCAUUUAUGUGAUGGGGUCUUUCGCUACUCCCGGGAGAUGGUCCAGGAGCUGGUCAAGUUCCGACAGCUCGGGAUCUUAUAGCUGGCAUGGAUAAUUGAGAAAAGGCAAGUGUUGUAAAUCUAAUUUGAUGGUUCCAAUCAAAUUAUUUUGUUUUGGAUUCAAUGCAGAAAAAAAAUUUCAGAUUUAAAUCUCUCACAUCGUAUUUCCUUUUUUCAGGUUAUGCAACAUCUUGUUCAGGAAUGGAUAUAUAUUGUUCAUGUUUGAAUAAUUUUACAAAUUGUUGAAAUAAAGAUCAAAUUAUAUGAAAAUAA